GUGGACAAAGAGAGGGACCUGGAAGAACCAGGUUGGUUCCAAAAAUACCACAUUUUGUUGAGGAAGUCGUACCUUUGUACAAUGUGACUGACUUUAAAAGUCAUUUCAGACUGUCGAGAGGACAAGUAGAGGAUGUUAUGAUGACGUUGGGACCAUUCUACACAAACAGACAGCAUACCAAGUUGCCAGUAACCCACGCUGUUCUUGCCUGCCUGUGGACUCUAGCCAACCAGGAGUCAUAUAGGGGUGUUGCAGACUGAUUUAACAUUUCAAAAUCCACCAUCCACCAUGUCAACCCAUCUCAAUUACAUUUUCAAACAGCCGGCUUUCCAAAUACAGUCUUUGCUCUUGAUGGAUGUCACAUUCCCAUUGUUAAACCAUUUUGCAACAACCCCAUAGCCUAUUAUAACAGGAAACAGUUUUACUCCAUCAUUCUCACCGGAUUCUGUGACAGCCAGCGCCGCUUUUGUCAUGUCAAUGUAGGACACCCUGGAAGUUGGCAUGAUGCAAGAGCAUUUCGAUACACUGAUGUAGCAUAGCAACUGGAAUUGAAUCCUCAGGCUCUGGUACCAGAGGGAAUGCACAUCAUUGCUGAUUCAGCCUACCCUUUGUCGCUACAUUUGAUGAAGCCCUACAGGGAUAAUGGGCACCUUACUGUUAGGCAAAGGCGCUUUAACAGAAAGCUCAAUGCAGCUCGUGUGGCCAUUGAGCAUGCAUUUGGCAUCCUAAAGUCAAAGUUCAGGAGGCUCAAGUGUCUGCACAUGAAGGAAGUGGCAAACAUCAGUGCAGCAGUCACAACAUGUUGCAUUCUACAAAUUUGUUUGGAUUCUGGUGACCGGGUUGAUGAAGAUGAGCAGGGUCUUCUUCAACAGGACACUGAGGAUCCACACCCACCACAGCCCAACAAUCAUGAUGCCUGUCAUUACAGAGACAUGAUCUGUUCCCACCUUUAAGGAUAAGAUACACUUUAGUUUAUAGUCAUACCCCCUUUUUUUCCUGUUUUCAUUUACACGUUUUUGUGAGCUGGUAUGCCACAGGGUGAUGUAAGGCACCUCGGGUCAAAUGCCAAGUUCAAAGUAGUAAUACAGUGUUUUAUAAGGCUCUAAGGAGGUUUGCAGCAAAUGUGCAAAUGUGUGUGUCAUUAUAACCAAUUUAAUUACUUUAACUUUUGAGACUGUUACCUUACAGUUUUAACCUUAAGGCAUUUUGAUUUUGAAGUGCCUCUACAUUAUCAAGACUUAUGCUGUGCCUCCGAGUGGCAGCUCAUGGUAACUGGGUGGUAAGAACCCAGGCUAAAUCAGCAGGGGAUCGUGAGAGUAUUUCACCACUGGAAAUGUGAACCAUCUAACCACUGCUCAUUUUCUGGUGUUUAAGUUUCUUUAUGUAUCAAUAAGACAGCCACAUAAUAUCAUUUAACAUAUUUUUAGUAAUUUUCUUUCAACAACGAAAUUAUUUCUUGUUGCUGCUUUCCUAUUUCUUCAAGUUGGGUCAAGAUUUGACCCAUGCAGGUCACCAUCUUCUUUUCAUGUGACCUUUUUUCUUUUAGGAGUCUUGUAACUUCUGGCCUCACCAGUGACUCCAACGCAGCAGUCCUUCUCUCAGCAUGGGACCGAUUACAAACUAAUUCACUGUACCUGUCUGGGAUUCUGGCUGUCCGGAUGAAAAUUGAUGGAAGCUGCCUGAAGAUGAUGACUGCUGUGGUGGGUUGGUUUCAGGAGUAGGGCUCGGUGUGACGGUUGUUGGUUGUGUAUGGACCGGAGUGUGGGUAACUAUAGGCUGGGGAGUAG